rnacentral:rRNA from 1 species
AGAGCUUGCUCUCUGGAUCAGUGGCGAACGGGUGAGUAACACGUGAGCAACCUGCCCCGGACUCUGGGAUAACAGCUGGAAACAGCUGCUAAUACCGGAUACGAGCUGCGAAGGCAUCUUCAGCAGCUGGAAAGAAUUUCGGUCCGGGAUGGGCUCGCGGCCUAUCAGCUAGUUGGUGAGGUAAUGGCUCACCAAGGCGUCGACGGGUAGCCGGCCUGAGAGGGUGACCGGCCACACUGGGACUGAGACACGGCCCAGACUCCUACGGGAGGCAGCAGUGGGGAAUAUUGCACAAUGGGCGAAAGCCUGAUGCAGCAACGCCGCGUGAGGGAUGACGGCCUUCGGGUUGUAAACCUCUUUUAGCAGGGAAGAAGCGAAAGUGACGGUACCUGCAGAAAAAGCGCCGGCUAACUACGUGCCAGCAGCCGCGGUAAUACGUAGGGCGCAAGCGUUAUCCGGAAUUAUUGGGCGUAAAGAGCUCGUAGGCGGUUUGUCGCGUCUGCUGUGAAAACCCGAGGCUCAACCUCGGGCCUGCAGUGGGUACGGGCAGACUAGAGUGCGGUAGGGGAGAUUGGAAUUCCUGGUGUAGCGGUGGAAUGCGCAGAUAUCAGGAGGAACACCGAUGGCGAAGGCAGAUCUCUGGGCCGUAACUGACGCUGAGGAGCGAAAGGGUGGGGAGCAAACAGGCUUAGAUACCCUGGUAGUCCACCCCGUAAACGUUGGGAACUAGUUGUGGGGUCCAUUCCACGGAUUCCGUGACGCAGCUAACGCAUUAAGUUCCCCGCCUGGGGGAGUACGGCCGCAAGGCUAAAACUCAAAGGAAUUGACGGGGACCCGCACAAGCGGCGGAGCAUGCGGAUUAAUUCGAUGCAACGCGAAGAACCUUACCAAGGCUUGACAUAUACGAGAACGGGCCAGAAAUGGUCAACUCUUUGGACACUCGUAAACAGGUGGUG